GUUGGUGGCUCACGAGGAUUUGACGAUGGUUCUAACAGAUCAUCAUAAAUGUAGGACCAUCUUUAGUAUUGUAUAAUUAGCAUUUGUCUUGCUGGACUGCACCUAGGAUAUCUACGCUCUGGUUAUGUGUAGUCUCACUUACUCUCGUCUUUCACCUUAUCUUAUCUAGUGCUCUAAUAGGUUUGCUUUUUUUUCUUUUCGUUUAUUGGCAUUCCUUAUAUUAAUAUUGCUUCCC
rnacentral:lncRNA from 1 species